CCCUUCGGGGACAAAGUGACAGGUGGUGCAUGGUUGUCGUCAGCUCGUGUCGUGAGAUGUUGGGUUAAGUCCCGCAACGAGCGCAACCCUUGAUUUUAGUUGCCAGCAUUUAGUUGGGCACUCUAAAGUGACUGCCGGUGCAAGCCGGAGGAAGGUGGGGAUGACGUCAAAUCAUCAUGCCCCUUAUGACCUGGGCUACACACGUGCUACAAUGGAUAGUACAAAGGGUCGCGAAGCCGCGAGGUGGAGCUAAUCCCAUAAAACUAUUCUCAGUUCGGAUUGUAGGCUGCAACUCGCCUACAUGAAGCCGGAAUCGCUAGUAAUCGUGGAUCAGCAUGCCACGGUGAAUACGUUCCCGGGCCUUGUACACACCGCCCGUCACACCACGAGAGUUUGUAACACCCGA
rnacentral:rRNA from 1 species